rnacentral:lncRNA from 1 species
AGGCGCAAUUGUAAUAGACCAUUUGGAAAUUUGCAAUAGUACUGAGAUCGUAAAUUCCAAUGAAAGUGGCGAAUUUUUUGCUCUGGUGGCUGAAUUUAAGCCAGCGAUCAAUAUAUACCUAAAACAGUUGGUGAAAUCCCCAGUACAUUCCUUAAGGGACCUGAUUGCCUUCAAUGAGAAAUUCUCCAACUUGGUAAGUAAGGAUGCAAAUACGCAGAAUACUUCAAUAAAUAUGACAAGUACGACAAUGUGGGUUGAUUUUGCUGCAAUGGUUGUGCAGGAAAAGACAAAAGAAUAUCACCAAAACAUCUUCGAAGUAGCCAACUCUUUGACGGAUGCUGAUGCUGAAAAAAUACUGAAGUUAGCAUUACCUAAUUUAAAAGAACUUUCAAGAAAUAGGCUGGAGAAAUUAGUGAGGAAGCAUAAACUAGACGCAUUGGUGAGUCCAUUUUAUUCGGUAAGCACAAGUUUCUCAGCUCUACUUGCCAUU